AGGAUAUUUUCAUAAUUUGGAAAUGAUGAUGAUAACUGUAUUACAUGACAGUUGCAGGCGUUAUUGUGUAACAUCCUCUUUCGAGUUCCUCAAACAUACAUUUAAAUUUCCUGAGCAAGUCAUAGCAUCAGUGCUGGUGAGCAGGAGAGGUGAAUGCUUAGCUAAUUUCAUCUUCUCUGAAAAAUGACUCUGAAAAUAAUGUUGUAAUUCAGGCCUGACAAAGCCCCUUUCCACUAGCGGCUCUGGGAUAAUGUGACCAGCGGAGGAUCAAUGGUGUCUUUGUGCAGACUGGAAUCAAGUCAGGGCCUCUACGACAACCAACACCACUCAGACUGAAUGAAUCAAGUCUUUUUAUGACUUCACUCUCUGUGUCCUUCAGGUGGACAUUUCUCUGUCCCUAUAUUUCUGCCAUUGUGCUGAAAAUGACAGGCAGAAAUUCUACGAAAAAGUCAAUAUUUGCCCUUGAGGGCUGGGUGCACAAGCCACUCCUUGUCAUACACACUACAGCGGCCAUCUGCACCCGAUUCCGCCCUGAGAACACGGAUCUGUCAGGCAGGAAGGCAAACGCGCCGGCAAAGGACUGUUAGCGAUUGGACUGGAUUGGCAUAUGUGGGGGGUGGAGAAAUUCGGUGCAAUUGUCUAGAAUUCUAACGUAACCCUGUUUGAGAUGCACAAACAAUGAAGCAUUUAGAGGUUAAAAAAGCAAACCGGACCUGAGCGAGAGUGGUGAUUAUAUAUGUAUACAGUCUAAUGUGAGUCGGGAGAC